rnacentral:lncRNA from 1 species
CUCAGAUCUCUUCUUAGCUUCUGCCAGCUUUUCUCAGCUCCUCAGCACCUCUGAGAGCUUUGCAAAUCAUCCCUUCACAGCAUCAUCAUAAAAUAUCUCACCGGAGCCAGUUUGAGGGGGAGGCAGCUUUUGCAGCUCCCAAGAGGGCAGAUGCCACUCCCUGCCACCAGGUCUCCAUGGCCCCUCCCACACUUGGAGAGUGAGGGCUCCGGGGAGGGUGGCUCUACUUCACUGCAGAGAAAAUGCAGUCGGUGAGAGAAAGAGAUACACUGAGGCUCCAGAGAGUGUAAAACAAGCAUCUCGUCACAAAACAGAGAGGAAACUAAGUCUGGGAUUUAUUGCUGAGUCCCUUCUUCUGAUAAAGAAGCCAGAGGAGCAUCAACAUUUUCCUUGGAGUCGGGAGUCCUUGGCACCCUCUCUCUGCAGACCAGGCCAUGGUGCAUGACCAAAGUUAAGCAGCUCUCCUCACCUGUCUCCAAAACAAGUCUGCUUACAGAUGUGGGCCACAUCUUGACCUCUUAACAUCAACCACAGAGCAAGACCUGUACCCUAGAGAUGCUCAGAAAUGUUUGCCCCUGUAAUUGAGCAGGCAAGCUCUCAACAGGAGGAUGGGCACCUGCUCA